rnacentral:rRNA from 1 species
GGGGAAUCUUGCGCAAUGGACGAAAGUCUGACGCAGCCAUGCCGCGUGAGUGACGAAGGCCUUCGGGUUGUAAAGCUCUGUCUAAGGGAAAGAAAGGUGUACGAGCGAAUAGAGCGUACAAUUGACGGUACCCUUAAAGAAAGCACCGGCUAACUCCGUGCCAGCAGCCGCGGCAAUACGGGGGGUGCAAGCGUUGUUCGGAAUUACUGGGCGUAAAGGGCGUGCAGGCUGUGGAGCAAGUUGAAUGUGAAAUCCCCGAGCUUAACUUGGGACGUGCAUUCAAGACUGCUUUACUGGAAUACGGGAGAGGGUCGUGGAAUUCCUGGUGUAGAGGUGAAAUUCGUAGAGAUCAGGAGGAACACUCGUGGCGAAGGCGACGACCUGGACCGAUAUUGACGCUGAGACGCGAGAGCGUGGGUAGCAAAC